UCUCAAAGCGCAAGACGAAGAGAAGCAAUAGAAUACGAGACUGGAAAAGCGACUAGCCUGGGGUGCGAUACUCGAUGUUAUUUAUCUUUAUGGACCUCGGCCAGAGGUCAUCACUGCUAUCCAGGUAUUUUUCUGCCUAAGAAGAUCUGUCGGCUUGAACUAAGAGGCUUUCCGGUGCUCUCUCCCUCUCUGUCUCUCUCUGUGUACUUCGACGUUUUAUAAAUACUUGGCUUUGUUAAUACCGUACAAGACAGUACAAAAGUUAGACCAACGAUAGGUAUUUAUCGAUGAAGGGUGUACAUAUUUGGUCAUUGAGGUAACGACGAAAAGUUGAUCGUGUGUAUACGAAAUUUUUU